CCAGCCGUUCUGUAUCAGGGUCAGCUGUUUUCACUUAAGGCUGAGGUUCCAGGCUUGAGGGUGGAGUUUGGCCAGGAGCCCAGCCGUUCUGUAUCAGGGUCAGCUGUUUUCACUUAAGGCUGAGGUUCCAGGCUUGAGGGUAGAGCUUAGCCAGGAGCUCAGCCGUUCUGUAUCAGCAUGAGUUAGAAACCUGCAAAAUACAGCAACUUAAAGCCAACAGGGGCUCUUCCUCUUUUGCUUGGCACUUCUUCCUGGCGCCUUGUGAAGAAUGUGUCUUGCUUCCCCUUCGCCUUCUGCCA
rnacentral:lncRNA from 10 species